rnacentral:rRNA from 1 species
AGGACACGCUGGCGGCGUGCCUAACACAUGCAAGUCGAGCGGAGAUGUACUGAAGAUUUAUCGGAUGUACAUCUUAGCGGCGGACGGGUGAGUAACGCGUGGGCAACCUGCCUUCCACUGGGGAUAACACAGGGAAACCUGUGCUAAUACCGCAUGACAUCACAUAGGGCAUCCUGUGUGAUCAAAGGAGUGAUCCGGUGGAAGAGUGGGCCCGCGUCCGAUUAGCUAGUUGGUGAGGUAACGGCUCACCAAGGCGACGAUCGGUAGCCGGACUGAGAGGUUGGCCGGCCACAUUGGGACUGAGACACGGCCCAGACUCCGUACGGGAGGCAGCAGGUGGGGAAUAUUGCGCAAUGGGGGGAACCCUGACGCAGCGACGCCGCGUGAAGGAAGAAGGCCUUCGGGUUGUAAACUUCUUUGAUGAGGGACGAAGGAAGUGACGGUACCUCAAAAACAAGCCACGGCUAACUACGUG